rnacentral:rRNA from 1 species
AAGUCGUAACAAGGUUUCCGUAGGUGAACCUGCGGAAGGAUCAUUAUUGAAUACGAUUGGUACUGAUGCUGGCCCUUUACUGGGCAUGUGCUCGUCCAUCUAUUUAUCUUCUCUUGUGCACAUCUUGUAGUCUUGGAUGAACCCUUGCGCAUUCGUGCGGUCUGGGAGUUGCGAAUUAAAACCUUGCUUCUCCUGCUUGUCCAAGGCUAUGUUUUCAUAUACACUAUAAAGUUACAGAAUGUCAAUUAACGACUUGUGCUUGUCACGGUCAUUAAACCUAUACAACUUUCAGCAACGGAUCUCUUGGCUCUCCUAUCGAUGAAGAACGCAGCGAAAUGCGAUAAGUAAUGUGAAUUGCAGAAUUCAGUGAAUCAUCGAAUCUUUGAACGCACCUUGCGCCCUUUGGUAUUCCGAAGGGCAUGCCUGUUUGAGUGUCAUUAAAUUAUCAACCUUGCUCGCUUUUACCGGCUUGAGUUAGGCUUGGAUGUGAGGGUCUUUGCUGGCUUCCUUCAGUGGAUGGUCUGCUCCCUUUAAAUGCAUUAGUGGGAUCUCUUGUGGACCGUCACUUGGUGUGAUAAUUAUCUAUGCCAUCUUGACUUUGAAGCAAACUAAUGGGAACCUGCUCAUAACCGUCCUUUCAGGACAACUCUUGACAUUUUGACCUCAAAUCAGGUAGGACUACCCGCUGAACUUAAGCAUAUCAAUAAGCGGAGGAAAAGAAACUAACAAGGAUUCCCCUAGUAACUGCGAGUGAAGCGGGAAAAGCUCAAAUUUAAAAUCUGGCGGUCCCUGUGGCCGUCCGAGUUGUAAUUUAGAGAAGUGUUAUCCGUGCUGGACCGUGUACAAGUCUCCUGGAAUGGAGCGUCAUAGAGGGUGAGAAUCCCGUCUUUGACACGGAUUGCCAGUGCAUUGUGAUGCGCUCUCAAAGAGUCGAGUUGUUUGGGAAUGCAGCUCAAAAUGGGUGGUAAAUUCCAUCUAAAGCUAAAUAUUGAGGAGAGACCGAUAGCGAACAAGUACCGUGAGGGAAAGAUGAAAAGAACUUUGGAAAGAGAGUUAAACAGUACGUGAAAUUGCUGAAAGGGAAACGCUUGAAGUCAGUCGCGCUGUUCAGGACUCAGCCUUGCUUUGCUUGGUGUACUUCCUGUUCGGUGGGUCAGCAUCAAUUUUGGUCGGUGGAUAAAGGCUUAGAGAAUGUGGCAUCUUCGGGUGUGUUAUAGCUCUGGGUCGCAUGCAUCGGCUGGGAUUGAGGAACUCAGCACGCCGCAAGGCCGGGGACUUG